CAGUCGCCGCGGUAAAACGGAGGGUGCAAGCGUUAAUCGGAAUUACUGGGCGUAAAGCGCACGCAGGCGGUCUGUCAAGUCAGAUGUGAAAUCCCCGGGCUUAACCUGGGAACUGCAUUUGAAACUGGCAGGCUAGAGUCUUGUAGAGGGGGGUAGAAUUCCAGGUGUAGCGGUGAAAUGCGUAGAGAUCUGGAGGAAUACCGGUGGCGAAGGCGGCCCCCUGGACAAAGACUGACGCUCAGGUGCGAAAGCGUGGGGAGCAAACAGGAUUAGAUACCCGCGUAGUCCAUGUCUCUUAUAC
rnacentral:rRNA from 1 species